rnacentral:tRNA from 1 species
GGGAGAUGGCUCAGUGGUUAAGAGCACUGGCUGCUCUCCCAGAGGACCCAGGUUCAAUUCCUAGCACCCA